UGGAUUCCCACCAUGGCCUGGGCCCCUCUGCUCCUCACGCUGCUCACUUACUGCUCAGGGGUCAGUUCGCAGCCCGUGGUGACUCAGGAGCCCUCGAUGUCGGUGACCCCAGGAGGGGCUGUCACUCUGUCCUGCAGCCUGAGCCCUGGAGCCGUCACCACCAGCAACUAUCCAGGCUGGUUCCAGCAGAAACCAGGCUCUGCUCCUCGGACACUUAUAUACAGCACCAAUAGCAGACCCUCCGGGAUCCCUGCCCGGUUCUCUGGGUCCAUAUCCGGUAACAACGCUGCCCUGACCAUCACCGGUGUCCAGGCAGAGGAUGAGGCUGACUAU